rnacentral:rRNA from 1 species
UACGUAGGGUGCAAGCGUUAAUCGGAAUUACUGGGCGUAAAGCGUGCGCAGGCGGUUUUGUAAGUCAGAUGUGAAAUCCCCGGGCUCAACCCGGGAACUGCGUCCGAUACUGGCAGGCUUGAAUCCGGGAGAGGGAUGCGGAAUUCCAGGUGUAGCGGUGAAAUGCGUAGAUAUCUGGAGGAACACCGGUGGCGAAGGCGGCAUCCUGGACCGGCAUUGACGCUGAGGCGCGAAAGCCAGGGGAGCAAACGGG